CAGACACAGAAACAAAGGAAAAAAAGCUGCUUACCUUUGGAAGGCCUCAGGGCAGCACUGGGAUUGGUGUCCUCUUUGCUUCUGCACCAAGACAAUGAAAAGAGUCCAGUGGACAGCCCUGAGCUCCCCACGGCCUCCAGGGACAAUGGGAGGAGUCCAGCGGACAGCCCUGACCUCCGUGCAGCCUCCAGGGGAGCCCUGAAGAAGAGAGCAGCACUGGGACUGAUGUCCUGUCAGCUGCUGUGCCGGGACAAUGGGAGGAGCCCAGCAGAUGGCACCGAGCUCCUGCAGCCUCCAGGCAGCACCAGAAAAGGUCCAGAGGCAGCUUCCAUUGGAGAAGCAGAAGACUUUGGUUUGGACAGGAAGAAGGACUCACGUUCAGCAUGAAGGUCCAUUCCAGCUGCUCCACUGGGACUUUUGUGUCAAACCAGGACAAGAAGCAAUUCAAAAGGACAAUACCAAAUUGUAACGAUAAUAAAGACCUAAAGCUCUUUUCUAAAG
ensembl:lncRNA